rnacentral:lncRNA from 1 species
GAGGUCGCACCAAAUCUCCCUCAUAAAUCCAACGGCAAUGUCAAAUGAAUUGAUAUAAAAAUUAAAAUCAGAUAAGCAAUGCUGUGUGUAAGAAUUGUUUGAAGGUGGUAGCCGGUUUCAACAGCACCAUUAUCUUGGCUUCGCCACCAGGAUGGACCUCCGCAAUCCGCCAGUGACGGUGGCUGAGGUGUCAGAUCCCAAAAUUGUCAUGGAAAGGAAAUGUAAGCAAAACGACUGCGUCUUACCUCAAGUUAAUAUGAGAGAACUUGAAAAAUUAAACUCCGUUGCCGGGAUCAAACCCAGGUCAUCCACGUGACAGGCAGGAAUACUCACUACUACACUACGAC